UUUUUUGCUCUAUUUUCACAUCUUAUGAAACCCUGUCUCAUCCCAAGGCAAUGGUGGUUUGAAUAUUGUUAAUACAAAAGAACAGUCAAUAUUAGACCAGAGGAGAGAAAGUGAAAGGCACAUGUAUUAUGCAAGCGCCACAGCAGGCUGCUUCGGUAAGUGUUGUAUUAGACCAGCAGCUAUCAACACAAAGCUGACUUUCAUAUACAUUAUGAAGGCCAGGCUGGACGGAGCCUUAAGCAACCUGCUCUAGUGGAAGGUGUUGCUGCCCGUGGCAGGGGGUUGGAACUGGGUGAGCUUUAAGGUCCCUUCCAAGCCAAACCAUUCUACAAUUCUAUGAUUAUUAACAAUGAAAGUAUCUGCAAACCAAAUUUACCCUCCCCUGUAUCUUCUAGAGUGUUUUGAAAGUAACCUUAGGACAGUUAUAAUUCAAGUGUCCUUAUAAGAUACCAUGUAAAAGGAGGGACAAUUUAAAGGUUUAGAAAUUAUGCCACUUCCUUUCCAACUCAUUCCUAAUGGAAAUAAGUUCUAGAUCUGUAGAUUUUUAAAGGUAUAUAGAAAGUUAACAAAAAUUGUCACUAAGUCAUUGCUUCUGUUACAAGGUAGUCUGGAAAAUUCCUAGAAUUCAAACUGUUCUACACUGAGAAUUCCUUCAAAGGAAAAAUAAAUAUGUUCCAAAAGUCUUUUUUAUUUUCUAAUUGAGAAAUACAUUCCAUAUUUAAUGAAAAGUCCUGGUACUUUAGCAAAAAUUCCCUUACAUGAGAUCUUCUGCCACAACAAACGGGUUUGCAAAUACCCAAUUUCCCAAGAAAAUGUCCUAAUUUACUAAUUUGGGUGUAAUUUUCUUUUUCCCAAAAGGCUAAAAAGGAUCUUACCUCUCUUCGAAACAGCGCCUGCUCAUCACGUACAGGGCUGCUUUUUCCUCGGUCCAUUUUGGGUGUCAUCUGUUGAAUAAGAAAAAGUUCAAAACAACUUAAUUCAAAGCAGUAACUCCAAAUAAAAUCCAUCCUAACCAGAAAUGAAAAUUAUUAAGCAUGUUGUUCCCCCCUUAUAAAAUAUUGUGGGAAUAUAGAUACAUACCAAAGACACUGGCAUUGGUUUUUCUCGCAAGUAUCUUGGAUUUUCUAACUGAAAAACAAGUUAGAGAAAAAGUAAUCACGUCAAUAAUGUCACCUUAUUUCUUAUAAACAGUAAGAAAUAUCUCCAAAUACUAAAUAAAGUUUGCAGUGACAACUUCGAGUGAUCUGUACCAGGGCGGGAACACUUAGCCCAGUAACUCUAUCACUCUAAGAACAACAAUUGAACAGAUUUAAGCAUGGCUUUGGUUAUACACACCAGACCAAGAACUGCUUUGCACUAAGAUUUGAUUAUCUAUUAAAACACAGUUAACCUGCAAAUCAUCAUGUGUGUAGAUACACGGCUGUAACCUAGAAGUAUCACACAAAUUAAUCUGCCUGUGCAUAACUCUUUCUCCUUUAGAACAUUUCAAUGAUCCCUAAGAAAAGCACACCAUGGAAUGCAAAUGUCCAUCUUUUAAAAGGUACAGAAAUAGAAAAUCUUCAUAAGGGAUCAUUCUGCUGGACAUGACCUACUCAGCAAGUUUUAAAGUUAUAAUGUUUCCUAAUGGAAAUGGUUCAAAAAUUGCACUUUUUUUUCUCCCCCAACCCCUUGUGGUUGUAAAAAUUCCAUCGAUGCAUGUUUUAAAGGAAUUUGGCAGCUAAAUACCUGCCUUAUGCAAAAGAUUCCAACUUUAUUGGGUAAACUUUCAUUUAAAUCAGUAAAACUAGCAUA
rnacentral:lncRNA from 1 species